rnacentral:misc_RNA from 1 species
AAGUCGUAACAAGGUAACCGUAGGUGAACCUGCGGUUGGAUCAUUAAAGAAUUUUUAUAUGAUAUUUCCUAAGGCAGAGGUGAUGAGCCUUUGUAUUUAGGGAAACAUUUUGUGAACCUAAAGGGGGAGUAGUAAUGAUUUAUUAUUGCUAUUUCCCUUUUCCUUUUUCAAACUUGUAAUAAAACCUGCCUUAAAAAAACAUCUACAUAUCCAAUAUGUACAAAUCAAAAAACAACUUUUGACAACGGAUCUCUUGGCUCUC